GCCUAGAGAUAGAGAGAAGAGAGCAUCUCUCCCUGUGAUGAUUCUUUCCUAGGAUCCGACACCUCAGACCUCCCUUCAUGUGUCAGUGACUGUAACUGGACCACACUCCACUCCCUCCCACUCUGGGACAUGGGUCAUGGGAACACCAAGGAUCUACCUGAACAACAUCAGGUGUCACUUGGGCCCUGGGGGUCUGGUGGACACGUCCACUGAAGUCCCUGCUCAUGUUCUACACUCCAGUGGGGAAAGAAGAAGACAACAGACAGGUGUUCCUGCGGCUGCACGAUCCUGAGGCUUUGAGGUCUGGGGCGAGAACAGACUUGAGUGUCUUCUGGGGAUCAAACAGCCUACUGUUCUGUCUAUCUGGGACCUCUCCGUCAGGUGUUCCUUCUCCCUGUUUCCAGCUUCCAACAUCACAUCGUCACCAUCUCCUCCUUCCUAUUGAGUUGAUGUCUUUUUAAAAAUCAUUUGCUGUAGGGAGUGCAGUUACAUACGGGUGUUCAGUCUGCCAUCCUGCCUCCUCACCUUACGAAUGAGGGGAUGGGGGUUCGAGCCUGGGGCUUCCUAGGGAGAUGAACAGCAGUAAUAUAUCUGAAGCCCAUCCUUUGUUUACAGAGAUCCUCACUUUAUGGGGCUCACCUCCCAUUGUGGAAACUGAAAAUGCAGACACACACUGGCCUGUUGCCCUUAGCAGUGGGCCUGUGAGUCUGUACUGGUAGGCGUGGGGCCAGGCAGAGGUCUCUCAUGUGACACUGUGUCCUUCCUGUGAUGGCCGGUCCUACUCCAUCCACCCCUUUGAAGCUGCAUCUGGAGCCUCCCCAAGGGGGGCCUUCUCCCCCUACAAAGUUUUCACAGCUCUGUCCCACUCUGCUUCUCUGGACUGACCCUCUCCUGCCCUUCCCAAUUCUUGACCCUUGACCUGUCCUUUAUCCAAAGGCAAGCCCCACCCUGUGGCUGUGGCCACCUCCUCAGCUGAAAUCAGACUGACGGCAUAGCUCCAUCUGCUCUGACCAGGUCUGGCCUCCUCUGUUUCACCCAGGUCGCGCACUUGGACGCUCAGAGAGCAGUGCCCCCACCCUCGGCCACCAAAGUCAUCUCAAACCAUUAUUUAAUAUUAAAAAUUUUACUAUUUCCUAGGUCUGUAUCUUGUUCUUCCCACUAGAAAUUUAAGUGUCUCAUCUCUUCACAGCUGAGCACAAGGGCCAGGCAACAUGCAAAAUGUUCAAUAAAUAUUUCCCCACAUCCCUGCUCUGUCAAGGAAAUA